UGAAGGUGGUGGCGCUUAGUCGUGCCCGUUGGGAUCAGGACAGCUCGCUCGCAGCACGGUGAAAGUGCACAACCCCCACAGAGGCAUGCGCGGUGAGAGCCUAGCGUACGACUACAGCAGUAAUGAAAGGCUCCGACUUGUCGGUCUCCUCUGCAUAUCUCCCGGUACAGCUUUAAAGAGAGCCUCGCAUUUUUUUUUUUUUUUGGAGACUACGAGGAAAUGGGAAUUUUUUUCUGAGCACGGAGGCUGCGCGUAUGACUGCAGAUGUAACGUUCACCGAGGCAGUGGAAACUCAAACUGCCAUAUAAAAGAUAAGCGCCUACAGAUCUCCCUGUACAGGAAGUCGGUCGGAAGCGGCGAUUAAGGCUAUUUUUAGGUCGCCUUCACGUUUGUUUUCGCCGGCCUCCCUCCCAGAAGGGCCCGGUGUCGUCACCGCCAGGGAUUCCACCUACGUCAAUCGAGCCCUUCAUUGACGUCAUCGGAGAGACUUGCCCCUGUUUCUGAGCCAUAGGAGCAUCUGAUCGUUCUCAGGCGAGGGGAAGUGCUUAGCGAGAAAGAGAGAGAGAGAGAAAAAAAAAGAGACGGCAGCAGGACUGGAAAAACGCCGGGCGGAGGGGCGUCGGGUUACACAGGCGAACGAAGAAACCCCGGCUUUCUUUUUGCGGUCCGACUGGUUUCCCUGAUGCAUAUCGCCAUGGCGUGGAAUGUGAAAGAUCUGAUCAGAAGACAGGGGCGUCUUUGUGACGGCAGGAAUCCUCGGAGGCGAAAAGAAAGAAAG